UGUUCUCUUGAUGAUUGAAAAUCCUGCAAGGGCCAAUGGUCAUAUUUUUAAUGUGGGCAAUCCUAACAAUGAAGUUACUGUGCGACAGCUAGCUGAAAUGAUGACCAAGGUCUAUUCGAAGGUGAGUGGAGAAUCUUCUCUUGAAACGCCUACCAUUGAUAUAAGUUCGAAAGAAUUUUAUGGAGAAGGGUAUGAUGACAGUGACAAGAGAAUUCCGGAUAUGACUAUAAUCAACAAACAGCUUGCUUGGAACCCGAAAACCUCCCUAUGGGACUUGCUUGAAUCAACACUCACCUACCAACACAGGACAUAUGCUGAGGCUAUCAAGCAGGCCAUGUCAAAGUCAACUGCAAAUUGAGGGAAGGUGGAGCAGUUGCUCAUAUACGUUUAACUUCUUUUUGCCACUCACACUUUGAAAAUCUAUAAUAGCUGAUGGUUGUAAGCAUCAUGUAUCCUAUUUUGUAAGUCGUGACAUCAGUCAUUAGGGAAUUGUGUCAUAGGUUGAUGUAAUUUUGUUACUAGAGAGACUUGCCAACAACAGUUAUCAGGCACUAAAAUGAAGGAAAGCCUGUAGUAAUGUCCUUUUAGUAUUUUGUUGUUCAUUCUUUUGAUUCUUCUGUAUGAGAAAGCAUCUUGUAUAAUUUUUUAGACCUGCUGUCUCCGGUAGUCAUUUGUUCAUCUGUAUCAGAUUG
rnacentral:misc_RNA from 1 species